rnacentral:lncRNA from 1 species
CUUCAGAUUGAGCCUCUUGAAACAUUUGCUCUUGGAAUUCUCCCUCUCAGGAAACUAACAGCCUGCUAUGAAGCCCAAGCCACAAAGAGAGGCCAAGGGGAAAUAAACAGAGUGUGAUUAUAUGCAAAACCUACAAGAAUGAGGACCUCCAAACUCAGUGUACAGAGUGAUUUUCUGCUGAAACAAUUGGAAAAUAAAAGAGACAUCAGUGUGUGAAUGACGACUUUCUGUUGCUGACUUGGAAGACAGAGGAAUUGGGUCAUGAGCCGAGGAAGGUGGGCAGCUUCUAAAAGGCGGAAAAGGCAGGGGAUGGCUCUGGCAGAGAAUCACUCCUGAGUACAACUUUCUGGCGGAAGCUCUAGUACGUGAAAGGUCUCUAUAAUGAGGAUUACAAAACAUUGCUCAAAG